rnacentral:rRNA from 1 species
AGAGUUUGAUCAUGGCUCAGAUUGAACGCUGGCGGCAGGCCUAACACAUGCAAGUCGAGCGGUAACACAGAGGAGCUUGCUCCUUGGGUGACGAGCGGCGGACGGGUGAGUAAUGCCUGGGGAUCUGCCCGAUAGAGGGGGAUAACUACGGGAAACUGUAGCUAAUACCGCAUAACGUCUACGGACCAAAGUGGGGGCUCUUCGGACCUCAUGCUAUCGGAUGAACCCAGGUGGGAUUAGCUAGUUGGUGAGGUAAUGGCUCACCAAGGCGACGAUCUCUAACUGGUUUGAGAGAAUGACCAGUCACACUGGAACUGAGACACGGUCCAGACUCCUACGGGAGGCAGCAGUGGGGAAUAUUGCACAAUGGGCGCAAGCCUGAUGCAGCCAUGCCGCGUGUGUGAAGAAGGCCUUCGGGUUGUAAAGCACUUUCAGCGGGGAGGAAGGGUCACUAGUUAAUACCUAGUGGCAUUGACGUUACUCGCAGAAGAAGCACCGGCUAACUCCGUGCCAGCAGCCGCGGUAAUACGGAGGGUGCAAGCGUUAAUCGGAAUUACUGGGCGUAAAGCGCACGCAGGCGGUUUGUUAAGUCAGAUGUGAAAUCCCCGAGCUCAACUUGGGAACUGCAUUUGAAACUGGCAAGCUAGAGUCUUGUAGAGGGGGGUAGAAUUCCAGGUGUAGCGGUGAAAUGCGUAGAGAUCUGGAGGAAUACCGGUGGCGAAGGCGGCCCCCUGGACAAAGACUGACGCUCAGGUGCGGAAGCGUGGGGAGCAAACAGGAUUAGAUACCCCGGUAGUCCAA